UGGGGAAUAUUGGACAAUGGGCGGAAGCCUGAUCCAGCCAUGCCGCGUGUGAAGAAGGCCUUUUGGUUGUAAAGCACUUUAUGCGAGGAGGAGGCUACUUGGAUUAAUACUCUAGGAUAGUGGACGUUACUCGCAGAAUAAGCACCGGCUAACUCUGUGCCAGCAGCCGCGGUAAUACAGAGGGUGCGAGCGUUAAUCGGAUUUACUGGGCGUAAAGCGUGCGUAGGCGGCUUCUUAAGUCGGAUGUGAAAUCCCUGAGCUUAACUUAGGAAUUGCAUUCGAUACUGGGAAGCUAGAGUAUGGGAGAGGAUGGUAGAAUUCCAGGUGUAGCGGUGAAAUGCGUAGAGAUCUGGAGGAAUACCGAUGGCGAAGGCAGCCAUCUGGCCUAAUACUGACGCUGAGGUACGAAAGCAUGGGGAGCAAACAGG
rnacentral:rRNA from 1 species